rnacentral:rRNA from 1 species
UACGGAGGGUGCAAGCGUUAGUCGGAAUUACUGGGCGUAAAGCGUGCGUAGGCGGUCUCUUAAGUCCGUUGUGAAAGCCCUGGGCUCAACCUGGGAACUGCAGUGGAUACUGAGAAGCUAGAGUGUGUCAGAGGAUGGUGGAAUUCCCGGUGUAGCGGUGAAAUUCGUAGAUAUCGGGAGGAACACCAGUGGCGAAGGCGGCGAUCUGGGAAGAUACUGACGCUGAGGUGCGAAAGCGUGGGGAGCAAACAGG